GAUGAACGCUGGCGGCGUGCCUAAUACAUGCAAGUCGAGCGAACGGACGAGAAGCUUGCUUCUCUGAUGUUAGCGGCGGACGGGUGAGUAACACGUGGAUAACCUACCUAUCAGACUGGGAUAACUUCGGGAAACCGUAGCUAAUACCGGAUAAUAUUUUGAACCGCAUGGUUCAAAAGUGAAAGACGGUCUUGCUGUCACUUAUAGAUGGAUCCGCGCUGCAUUAGCUAGUUGGCAAGGUAACGGCUUACCAAGGCAACGAUGCAUAGCCGACCUGAGAGGGUGAUCGGCCACACUGGAACUGAGACACGGUCCAAACUCCUACGGGAGGCAGCAGUAGGGAAUCUUCCGCAAUGGGCGAAAGCCUGACGGAGCAACGCCGCGUGAGUGAUGAAGGUUUUCGGAUCGUAAAACUCUGUUAUUAGGGAAGAACAUAUGUGUAAGUAACUGUUCACAUCUUGACGGUACCUAAUCAGAAAGCCACGGCUAACUACGUG
rnacentral:rRNA from 1 species